GACGAACGCUGGCGGCGUGCCUAAUACAUGCAAGUAGAACGCUGAAGGAGGAGCUUGCUCUUCUGGAUGAGUUGCGAACGGGUGAGUAACGCGUAGGUAACCUGCCUGGUAGCGGGGGAUAACUAUUGGAAACGAUAGCUAAUACCGCAUAAGAGUAGAUGUUGCAUGACAUUUGCUUAAAAGGUGCAAUUGCAUCACUACCAGAUGGACCUGCGUUGUAUUAGCUAGUUGGUGGGGUAACGGCUCACCAAGGCGACGAUACAUAGCCGACCUGAGAGGGUGAUCGGCCACACUGGGACUGAGACACGGCCCAGACUCCUACGGGAGGCAGCAGUAGGGAAUCUUCGGCAAUGGACGGAAGUCUGACCGAGCAACGCCGCGUGUGUGAAGAAGGUUUUCGGAUCGUAAAGCUCUGUUGUAAGAGAAGAACGAGUGUGAGAGUGGAAAGUUCACACUGUGACGGUAUCUUACCAGAAAGGGACGGCUAACUACGUG
rnacentral:rRNA from 1 species